AAUAGAGUUGUAAAAUAAAAAACUUCGCUAGCGGUUUGACGUUUGCCGUAAACGUCAAUCUUAAGGUCUCUAUUUUUCAGCAUGGGCGUACCGGAAGGAAAAAAUUAGGAAAAGAAAAUUGCCCGACUUUUCGUGAUUGUGCCCGACUAGUACCGAGUCGCCAAAAAAAUUUCGGUCAGUGUACCAUUUUAGGCGUCAAAAAAAUUUUCCGGACAUACCAAAAUUUUUCGUAACAUCACACAAAUUUUCCAAAAAACUCUACAUUGGCCACAAAAUUGACUACAUUUUCGAUAAAAUUGACAGAAUUUGUCCCAUUUAUUUUUAUAACAAACCAAAAUUGCCCGACUGUUAAUCGAAUAUUGCCCGACUGCCCAAAAAACUGGUGGGGCUACCGCCCCCCCGCCCCCCCGCCCCCCCCCCCGCCCGGUACGCCUAUGUUUUUCAGACAAUUUGCUAUUCACUCAAACUUACAUUUCCCCCCAAAAAUCAGCCUUUUAGAAUGCUUAAUCAAUGGCUUUGCCUGAGUUGCAUAUUGCCGCAAGUCAUUUUUAGUUUGUUGAAAAAGAAACACCCCCUAUUCUACAAAAUUUGAAUUCGAGUAUUUUUUUCAUUAUUCUACAUUAUGGGUAUCCAAGAAUCUAUAUCUAACAAAAACUUGAUACCACGAGUUGUUUUGCGAAAUUAAGAGCAAUUUCAAAUGUGUUCAGUUUUUUAUACACCCU
rnacentral:lncRNA from 1 species